rnacentral:rRNA from 1 species
CCUACGUGCGGCAGCAGUGGGGCAUAUUGCACAAUGGGGGAAACCCUGAUGCAGCGACGCCGCGUGAGUGAAGAAGUACUUCGUUAUGCAACGCUCUAUCAGCAGGGAAGAAAAUGACGGUACCUGAGUAAGAAGCCCCGGCUAACUACGUGCCAGCAGCCGCGGUACGCCGUAGGGGGCAAGCGUUAUCCGGGUUUACUGGGUGUAAAGGGAGCGUAGACGGCAGUGCAAGUCUGGAUUGAAAGGUCGGGGCUCAACCCCCGGCCUGCUCUGGAAGCUGUUCGGCUGGAGUGCAGGAGAGGUAAGGGGAAUUCCUAGUGUAGCGGUGAAAUGCGUAGAUAUUAGGAGGAACACCAGUGGCGAAGGCGGCUUACUGGACUGUAACUGACGUUGAGGCUCGAAAGCGUGGGGAGCAAACAGGAUUAGAUACCCGUGUAGUC